CAGGCUUAACACAUGCAAGUCGAGGGGCAUCAGGAAGAAAGCUUGCUUUCUUUGCUGGCGACCGGCGCACGGGUGAGUAACACGUAUCCAACCUGCCCUUUACUCGGGGAUAGCCUUUCGAAAGAAAGAUUAAUACCCGAUAGCAUAAUGAUUCCGCAUGGUUUCAUUAUUAAAGGAUUCCGGUAAAGGAUGGGGAUGCGUUCCAUUAGGUUGUUGGUGAGGUAACGGCCCACCAAGCCUUCGAUGGAUAGGGGUUCUGAGAGGAAGGUCCCCCACAUUGGAACUGAGACACGGUCCAAACUCCUACGGGAGGCAGCAGUGAGGAAUAUUGGUCAAUGGGCGCUAGCCUGAACCAGCCAAGUAGCGUGAAGGAUGAAGGCUCUAUGGGUCGUAAACUUCUUUUAUAUAAGAAUAAAGUGCAGUAUGUAUACUGUUUUGUAUGUAUUAUAUGAAUAAGGAUCGGCUAACUCCGUGCCAGCAGCCGCGGUAAUACGGAGGAUCCGAGCGUUAUCCGGAUUUAUUGGGUUUAAAGGGAGCGUAGGUGGACUGGUAAGUCAGUUGUGAAAGUUUGCGGCUCAACCGUAAAAUUGCAGUUGAUACUGUCAGUCUUGAGUACAGUAGAGGUGGGCGGAAUUCGUGGUGUAGCGGUGAAAUGCUUAGAUAUCACGAAGAACUCCGAUUGCGAAGGCAGCUCACUGGACUGCAACUGACACUGAUGCUCGAAAGUGUGGGUAUCAAACAGGAUUAGAUACCCUGGUAGUCCACACAGUAAACGAUGAAUACUCGCUGUUUGCGAUAUACAGUAAGCGGCCAAGCGAAAGCAUUAAGUAUUCCACCUGGGGAGUACGCCGGCAACGGUGAAACUCAAAGGAAUUGACGGGGGCCCGCACAAGCGGAGGAACAUGUGGUUUAAUUCGAUGAUACGCGAGGAACCUUACCCGGGCUUAAAUUGCAGUGGAAUGAUGUGGAAACAUGUCAGUGAGCAAUCACCGCUGUGAAGGUGCUGCAUGGUUGUCGUCAGCUCGUGCCGUGAGGUGUCGGCUUAAGUGCCAUAACGAGCGCAACCCUUAUCUUUAGUUACUAACAGGUUAUGCUGAGGACUCUAGAGAGACUGCCGUCGUAAGAUGUGAGGAAGGUGGGGAUGACGUCAAAUCAGCACGGCCCUUACGUCCGGGGCUACACACGUGUUACAAUGGGGGGUACAGAAGGCAGCUAGCGGGUGACCGUAUGCUAAUCCCAAAAGCCUCUCUCAGUUCGGAUCGAAGUCUGCAACCCGACUUCGUGAAGCUGGAUUCGCUAGUAAUCGCGCAUCAGCCACGGCGCGGUGAAUACGUUCCCGGGCCUUGUACACACCGCCCGUCAAGCCAUGGGAGCCGGGGGUACCUGAAGUACGUAACCGCAAGGAUCGUCCUAGGGUAAAACUGGUGACUGGGGC
rnacentral:rRNA from 1 species